rnacentral:lncRNA from 1 species
CCAACACUCACGCCCACCGCCUGUGUCACUCAAUCCCCACAAGGACGCUCACCCGUGGCCCCAUGACCCCACGGCCCCGUAAACUCCCGUCAUUCCUCCCGUCCCCCCUUCCCCCGAUCAAAACCAUCACCACCUCACCCUCCCGCUUACUUCACUGCCGACAGCCUGAAACCUCAGGGGCGGAUGACAACAGCCAGUGUGAACGAAGCGCCACCCUCCGGGUCAGCCGAGCAUUUCCGCUUCCCACAGCCCCCUGGGAACGUGAAGUCAAAGCAAUGCGCACGCGCAGUGGCUUUGAAGGCGGGGCAACAAAGCCUGUGGCCGAUGUGGCGCUCCUCGGCCCGCGCUUCAGUGGUUAUGACAGUGUUCGCUCUAAGGGGAGAAGGAAUGUGUGACCAUUUCCAACGGUUAACUUGCAUUCCCCAGAUAGUUUGGAUGAGUUACAACCUAAAUCUGCAAACUCAAUACAGCCAGACCCUGGGAAGUGACUCUCUCCAAGCCUCCUGUACAAGUCCCAGGAAAAGAGCCUGUUUUCCCUUGGACAUGUGAGCAGUGAAUUACUGCUCAUUCAGAAUUUCAUGUGUAUGUGUUACUGAUGGCCAGGUUUAGAGAUACCAACCUAUUUAUUUCUAGAGGAGAGGUGAUUUGAUAACCUUUUCAGAUAUCACUAUCAGUAGGCAGAAAAGGGUUAAUAGUAUGAUAGGGUUAAUAUGUCCUGAGGAGAGUAAAGAAAUUGCAAACUGCAGAAGCACCUGAUCUGUGGCCCUGGCCAGCAUCUCUCCAUAUCCUGAUUCUGUAAGAUCAAGUGUUUAUGCAGAAAGAGAAGGGACUGAUGAUUUGAAUGUGACCAGAUGCAGGGCAUGCCCUUAUUGCCAUGCCAGCAUUUGCUAUUCAUGAUGUUAGUAUUCAAAAAUCAAGAAACACCCUUCCUGGGCCAUUGGUGUCUACUAAUCCAUUGGAAGAAAAGACUGGAAUCCACCACUUACUAGCUUCUUGGGCCUCAGUCCCCUCUUUUCUGCCAUAGCUAAGGACCACCUAACCUAGAUGGCUGUUGUUAUUGUUCAAAGGGACAUCUUUAGAGCCUCAAGCCCAGGAAUAGCCCGUGGCAGGCACCUGGUAAAUGUUAGUUUUCAUUGUCCUAUCCCAACACUAUGAAACAUGCAGCACUCUCUGCAACUGCCCCUGUGGAUUUCCAUAGGCAGGAGAGUAUCCAGUGUUGAGUGGAGCUGGUAUUCUCAGAAACGAAGCCCCUUUCCUCAUUUUGCGCCAAUCUCUUCAGUCAUUUUUACCCUAGUAGUAUAAUGCUUUGUCAAAGUCACUGUCAUCUGAUGUUAACAGUUGUUUUCGCCAGAUGACUUUUCAAAAGGUAACUUCACCAUAAUACCGGUUAAUGUGAUAAAAACACUGCAUGUAGCCAAUUUUUUUUUUUUUUGAGAUGGAGUUAUUGGCUCUUGUUGCCCAGGCUAGAGUGCAGCGGCGUGAUCUUGGCUCACUGCAACCUCCAUCUCGUGGGUUCAGGUAAUUCUCCUGCCUCAGCCUCCCGAGUGGCUGGGAUUACAGGCACACGCCACCAUGCCCAGCUAAUUUUUUUGUAUUUUUAGUAGAGUCGGGGUUUCACUAUAUGUUGGCCAGGCUGGUCUCGAACUCCUGACCUCAGGUGAUCCGCCUGCCUCAGCCUUCCAAAGUGCUGGGGUUACAGGUGUGAGCCACUGCACCCAGCCAAAUAUUUUCUUAUUUAUUUAUUUAUUUUAGAGACAGGAUGCCAUUAUGUUGCCUAGUUUGGAAUGCAGUGUCUAUUUAGAGGCGUGAUCAUGGCAUACUAUAGCCUCGGCUCAAAGGACCCUGGUCUCAAAGGACCCUGCCACCUUAGCCUCCUGAGUAGCUGGGACAAGUGUGCGCCACCACACCUGGCUAAUUUUUUAAAUUUUUUGUAGAGAUAGUGUCUCGCUAUGUUGCCCACGCUGGUCUGGAAUUCCUGGACUCAAGGCCUCUUCCUGCCCUCAGACUUCCAAAGUGUUAGGAUUACAGGGUGAGUCACCACGCCCAGCCAGUGUGAAUUUUCUAAUGCUGAGUAAGUUGUGAUCCAGAAGUAAAUGUAUCUGCAAGCUGAUUUAAAUUGUAGAUUUUCUCUUCAUUGCAUAUUUUCUGAUGUUGAAUAAAGUCUGAGUAUUAACUAAAGUUUUUGCUUCUUAAAUAUGUAAGAAUUGUCCUCAAAAUCUCUAUUCUUGAGCACAGUAGUAAAAAUAUUUUUACAUACAUUGUAUUUCAAGGGUUCUGCAUAAGCAACCUUGUUUUAUUGUGACAAUUUAUUUGGGAAUUGUAUCAAAUAUAUAAUACUGAGAUGUUCUCAUUCCUUUUGUGAAAAUACUUUUGUUUAAAAACCACUGCCUUCAAAUGAAAACCACUAGGUUUGUUAUGCUUGCCUCAUCUUUUCUCGGUGUUUUUCUUUCAUUUUUUAAAAAU